rnacentral:lncRNA from 13 species
UUUGUAUGCGUAUGAAGCUGUGUGAACUACAUGUGUUUUAAAAAGUGUGUAUCUCUAUAUUGUGUAGGGUCCAGAGGUGCUCGUAUAUAAACUAGAUGCAGACCUGAGACCUGCCCUGUGAGUUCUCCUCCUGCUUGAUGCAAACUGAGAUACAGAACACACCAGAGAUCAGCGUGAUCCAAAACCUCAUCAACAACUAUGUACAACUGUUUGGGGUCCUGACCUCGUGGAUAUGUGAAUAUGGACUCGGAUGCCUUGAUGAGUUAGAGAGUGAGCACCGGAGGAAUCUGUGGACGAGUGUCAAUGGAGAAAAUUAAAAUAGGACAGCUACUUCCGACUUCAACUGUAGGUGCAACAUCAGAGAUGACAUACAAUGGUUCCAGACACUACCCCACACAUCUUGUCUCAGAUCUUGUCUCCUCAGGGAGGAAGCCCAACUGCCAACACCAGAGUCCGAAGGGAUACAUUCUAAUAACAAGAGUUAAACUGUUCAAUUAUAUAAGCAUAUUAUGCAGAUAAGACAUAAUUAUCUCUGUUACCUAACUAAUUCUGAUUCUUCCCGCCACAUUUGAUGAGGAAAUUGGUUUUUUAAUCCAUUUUAGGAUAAGGCUGUAACUUAACAAAAUGUGGAAAAAGUGAAGGGGUCUGAAUACUUUCUGAGUGCUCUGUAUGAAUUUCUCUCUCUCUCUCUCUAGUUCUCCCAUAUCCCAAGCACACAGAUAGUGAUUAUACAUGUACUUUCGAACUGGAGGUAUUUGAUGCCUUAUUCUGAAAGCAAUGGCAUAAUGUAUUUAUGAAAAAGAUUUUGUGAUAAUUCUGAAAUACUAUAGCCAUCCUCCCAUUCCAGCAUUACUUGGCCUAAAUUAUGUUAUCAACACGGCAAAAGCCUAAUUUAGAAUUGACUCUAACAUUUACUCAUUAAAGAUACAUAGAUUUUCUGUCUGGUGGGACUCUCCAGAGAGAGAGAAAGAGUGAGAGAGAAUGUGUGUGUGUGUUCCUGCGUGUCUGUGUGUGUAGGCUUGGGUGUCUCUCUCUGUGUGUAUGUGUGCGCGUGUCUUCCCCCUAUGAUAACUGACAUACUGUCCUUGUGCAAAACAGACUGACCAAUCACAGCGCUCAAUAGCUCAUUAUCAAUGCAUCAUAGUAAUUAGACAGUGUUAGUCAGUUAAUAUGGAAGGCAUUGAGUAUUUGGUCCAAUCAAAUAGCUGUCAAUAAACAUUUAGUUUUUUUCAUUAUGUGCUGUAAGGGCAAAAUCAGCUUCCUAUGAAAAUGGGAAAAUAGUGUUUGAGUCUGAUUGAAGAUGGACUUCAGAAAACAAUGGCAUGCUGUUUUCUUAGCCUUACUACAUUUCAACAUUCAAGAGGGUAUAAUUACUUAAUGGUAUUAUAGAUAACACAAACAGAUACAAAUAUUAUUUUCUUAUACAGGUGAUUUCAUUAGCCCAGAGAAGCACAGGGAACGUUUUUGAUUGGGCCAAACAAACAGUGAUGGACGUGUUGUACACCCUCAUCGUUCCACACACUCAACUGUAUGCCAUAGUUGAGGGUCACCAUAAUCAGCUCUGAUCAUACCCACUGUGUGGUGGACACAGGAGGAUGGGGGCACCUUAAUGUGUCUCUGUAGCUACCUUUCCAAUUGGCGACAGAUUUUCAUGUGUAUAUUCUCAAAACUGCAUAAAGAAUACAUGCAAACUGACUUGUUGCGGAUAAAAAGCUGUGUGAUGACAUAGUGCACAUUAAAGCACUUUUGCACUUUUGAACUUUUUGCAGUUUUCAUAUCAGAAUAUCAUAUCAGAAUAAAAUAGAAGUUCAAUGUGUUUCCAUCUCAUUUUUAACCCCACCGAUGGUUUUGUCACAAACUAUUUUGAUAAUUUGAUAGGUACCUGGGGCAUCAUUUAUAACCGUUGCAUAACUUUCACACUAAAUAUCUGCAUGCACCAUUUCUGAAAAUAAUAUGUAAGUCUAAGAACAUUGAUAUUUAUAAACUUGGCGCAUGUGUUUCCUAUUAUACAGUAAAUCAGACCUGUUGUAAAACUGCACGCGGGAGCGAACAGGAAAAUACCCUUCAUUCAUCUUUUAUGGUGACAAUAACAGCCGUUAUUUGAUUUACAAUUAAUUAGUCCACUGCAGUUUGUAAAAAAAAAGAACAAUGGCUCACAAUUCUGUAGAGGUAUGGGCAGAAUGAUUUCAUCUUUUUUUUUUAACUAAACAUACAUGCUGCCUAUACCGAGUGCCAAACACUUGAUUGAUUGUAUAUUUGAAACAAUUUCAAAGAUGCCCACACUUAUAUACUGUACAAAAGACAACUUGAUGUUCAAUAUUUUGUUUAUCAAGAUUAUUGUGAUUAUAUUCCUGCCAGGUUAUAGGCUCUGAUGUUGUGCUCCUAUCGCACAGCAAUACUGUAGCAUAUACCGAUACUGUCAAAUAUUUUACGUACACUACCACUCUCUUUACUGUUUUGGCAGAAUGUUAAAAUUGUUUUAAUUUAACUUAUGCUGUAUUUGGCAAAGGACUGUAACAGUUCCUGAAAGAGAAAACAAUUACAAAUUGUUGUUGACCUUUUCAGCAGAACAUUUGAAUUCAACAAUGUUUUGUAUCGACUGUCCCCCCAACCUAAUAUGCUGGACUAGCCUUAAAUUCUGAAACAUUGUAUUGGGUCUACUCAUUUUUAAAUGUUUUAUCACAGUAGGUUACAAACAGUAGUAGCAUACAUACUUCAAAGUAAAAGAUCAACUGUCUGCAUGUUCAUCUGUUAAAUUCAAAUGUAGGCUAUAGACCGGUUUCCUAUGGGACUGCAUACAGCAAAACUUGAAAUUCAUAGCCUUUUUAUUUAUUAGGCUACAAGUCCCAACUAAAUGAAAGAUGUGCAUGGUCAUUUGUUGUAUGGCUACUUUGAGAUACUUACCCAUCACGGCCAGAAAAGGUAAGGAAUUUAUUCUGCAAUAGUUAGGAAAAUAAAAUAAAUAGGAAUAGAUUCGUUUGUCUAAUUACUCAAAAAAUAAAACACAUAGCUUUUCGCUAUUCUCACUAACGGCAAAUGGCUGCAUCUUGUUAUUAUGUUUUUAUGAAUAAGCAUGUCAUGAUAUCCCCCAUUUGCACAAAAUACUUUCUUGCCUGCUUACAAUACCAUAUUUCAACCACUAGAAAAUGUGCGUAUGAAUGGUCUAAAGUUUAGGUGGACAUUCUCACGUCAAGUUCAGUUUUUAUGAAUGCCCUGGGGACACAUUUAUGAGUCAAAAUUCCUUGGACAGGACCAAGUUAAAUUAUAAAUACCUUUUUCUCUACUGAUGGCCAGCCUAGCUGAUUAAAAUGCUUGGCCUCAAGAUGAGUACGGGGGGAGUUUAAGUGCAAUAUACACCAGGUUAUUUUGGUUUAUCUGUAGCUUAUUAUUUUGUCGUGACGUGACUAUCAUUAAUCUGAACUAUUAUUUAUUUGAUCAACUAACUAUGUGUAAUUGUUACUCGAUUAUAAUCAAUCAUGCAACAAUGAAUUCAUUACAAAUUUGGGGAACCAUGGGAAAAGUUGUUUAACAAGUUACUAUCUCCCAACUUAAACUCUAAAGAUAUAUACAGUGCCUUGCGAAAGUAUUCGGCCCCCUUGAACUUUGCGACCUUUUGCCACAUUUCAGGCUUCAAACAUAAAGAUAUAAAACUGUAUUUUUUUGUGAAGAAUCAACAACAAGUGGGACACAAUCAUGAAGUGGAACGACAUUUAUUGGAUAUUUCAAACUUUUUUAACAAAUCAAAAACAGAAAAAUUGGGCGUGCAAAAUUAUUCAGCCCCCUUAAGUUAAUACUUUGUAGCACCACCUUUUGCUGCGAUUACAGCUGUAAGUCGCUUGGGGUAUGUCUCUAUCAGUUUUGCACAUCGAGAGACUGAAGUUUUUUCCCAUUCCUCCUUGCAAAACAGCUCGAGCUCAGUGAGGUUGGAUGGAGAGCAUUUGUGAACAGCAGUUUUCAGUUCUUUCCACAGAUUCUCGAUUGGAUUCAGGUCUGGACUUUGACUUGGCCAUUCUAACACCUGGAUAUGUUUAUUUU